AUGAACGCUGGCGGCGUGCCUCAUACAUGCAAGUCGAGCGAACGGACGAGAAGCUUGCUUCUCUGAUGUUAGCGGCGGACGGGUGGGUAACACGUGGAUAACCUACCUAUAAGACUGGGAUAACUUCGGGAAACCGGAGCUAAUACCGGAUAAUAUUUUGAACCGCAUGGUUCAAAAGUGAAAGACGGUCUUGCUGUCACUUAUAGAUGGAUCCGCGCUGCAUUAGCUAGUUGGUAAGGUAACGGCUUACCAAGGCAACGAUCCAUAGCCGACCUGAGAGGGUGAUCGGCCACACUGGAACUGAGACACGGUCCAGACUCCUACGGGAGGCAGCAGUAGGGAAUCUUCCGCAAUGGGCGAAAGCCUGACGGAGCAACGCCGCGUGAGUGAUGAAGGUCUUCGGAUCGUAAAACUCUGUUAUUAGGGAAGAACAUAUGUGUAAGUAACUGUGCACAUCUUGACGGUACCUAAUCAGAAAGCCACGGCUAACUACGUG
rnacentral:rRNA from 1 species